rnacentral:lncRNA from 1 species
AAUGGUGUAUGAUAGUUUAUGGAUGGAUGGUGGUUUAGUGGUCAAAUGUUUACAUAUAACUCUUGAUAUGAACAAGAAUAUCUAAGUUCAAUUAUAGAACUUCUAAUUUGGUUCUCCUCGUUAAGAUCCUGAUAGUCGCUGAGGAGUUUUCACUAUAGUGCUUCUUUUAAUAUCUACUGAACAAUUUUUAGUAAAAUACUUAAAAUAUACACUCUACAGUAGAACCAAAUAAACUCUAAGGCUUAGUUUGACAUUGAGACCUAUCUAACGCUAUCAGAUAGAAUGGAGAAUAUAUUGUAACCGACUCAUCGCGAUAUACGGAACGCAAUAUUAGAUACGGAAACAAACAAAAUAUUUUUUUAAUGUACUUUCUCACCGCACGUAACGCAAUCUUUCCGUAAUUCCAAACGAAAUCUAAUAAACCCCUUUAGGUCUACG